UCCAGACUCCUACGGGAGGCAGCAGUGGGGAAUAUUGCGCAAUGGGCGAAAGCCUGACGCAGCGACGCCGCGUGAGCGAUGAAGUAUUUCGGUAUGUAAAGCUCUCUCAGCAGGGAAGAAAAUGACGGUACCUGACUAAGAAGCCCCGGCUAACUACGUGCCAGCAGCCGCGGUAAUACGUAGGGGGCAAGCGUUAUCCGGAUUUACUGGGUGUAAAGGGAGCGUAGACGGUCCUGCAAGCCAGAUGUGAAAGCCCGGGGCUCAACCCCGGGACUGCAUUUGGAACUGUAAGGCUAGAGUGUCGGAGAGGCAGGCGGAAUUCCUAGUGUAGCGGUGAAAUGCGUAGAUAUUAGGAGGAACACCAGUGGCGAAGGCGGCUUACUGGACAGUAACUGACGUUGAGGCUCGAAAGCGUGGGGAGCAAACAGGAUUAGAUACCCCUGUA
rnacentral:rRNA from 1 species